rnacentral:lncRNA from 1 species
AAAAACCUCUGUCGGGUGCAUCCUGUUAAGAAUCAUAGAUUCGAUUACUGUCUUAAUGACAGUUGGUUACUGUCUUAAUGACAGUUUGUUUUUCUGUUUUCUUAUUUUAUCUUUGUUUCCCCUUCCCCACUCCUUUUGAUUGUAACACAAAACACAAAAUCAUUGUAAUAAAAUCAGAUUUCACAGAAACAAGGAAAGAUAGAGUUUUUCUUACUCUUCUCGUUAUCCCUUUCAUUUUUGUCUUCUUGGUCGCCACCGUCCACCGCCUCUAGGAUCGCCGGACGUCCUCCGUCUUCAUCAUCGGAUUUCUCAUCACUGGAGCUCUCUUCUCUCUCCUCACUCUCGGUAAAGCUUUACUGAUUUGAGGUAAAGCCUCUGACCCCAUCCACUCUAUUAUCUCCUACGGGCCAUGGGUCAUUGAGCUGAAUAUUCAAGUGCACAGUAUUGGGCUUUUACCAAUAUGGUAUCAGAGCAGGUCUAGUACCUGCUCUGCUUCCGCUGCCUUCAUAGUUAAUCUUGAUAUCUUCUUGGACUGUUUCUUGCUCUUCUUUAAUGGAACAAAUGGAUCAAUCUUGCAACCCAUCUAGUCCUUAUUAUCUGCACCCAGGAGAAAACCCAGGACUUAUGCUCGUUACACAGGUUCUGAAUGAAAACAACUACUCUUCUUGGAGUAGAAGUAUGAGGAGAGCCUUGCUUUCCAAGAAUAAAAUAAAGUUUGUUGAUGGGUCCAUAAAGAAACCCCAGAAAACUGAUACACUGUUUGAUGCAUGGGAAAGGUGCAACAUGAUGAUUUUAUCUUGGAUAACAAAGGCUCUUUCACCACACAUUGCUGAAAGCGUCAUAUAUGCUGAAGAAGCUAAGGAUUUAUGGGAUGAACUGAAAGAAAGGUUCUCUAAAGGUGAUUAUUUCAAGAUUUCAGACCUGCUUCAGGAUAUACAUUCUAUCAAACAAGGAGAAAGGGGAGUGAGCCAGUUCUUCACAGAUCUGAAGAUUCUGUGGGAAGAGUUAGAGUCCCUAAGACCCAUACCAACCUGCACAUGCCAGGUCCCAUGUAGCUGUGAUCUUUCAAGGAUAUUCUUGAAGUACAGAGAAAUGGAACAUGUGAUAUGUUUCUUAAAAGGUCUUAAUGAUUCUUACAGUACAAUCAGAACACAAAUUCACCUCAUGGAUCCUCUUCCCAAUAUCAAUAGGGUCUUCUCUCUUAUUAUGCAACAAGAAAGACAAGAAAAGCAAGGUGUUGUUGAUAUCAAAGCUCUAGCCAGUAUGACUGACAGAAACAAUCAAUGGAGAAACCAGGGAAACCAAGGAAGAGGUUAUGGAACCCGUGGUCAAGGAAGAGGAAGGGGAAGAAAUCCUAACUAUGGCAAACAAUGUUCAUAUUGUAACAAAAUGAAUCACACCAUAGACGAGUGUUAUUCUAAGCACGGGUAUCCACCGUGGUACAAGAAAGGAGACAACAACCAAGAAAAGAGGAGUGACUGGAGUUCUGUGAAUAUUUGUCAGAACAGUACCGAACCAGAAGGGACUCAAAACACACAACAGACUGGUAAUAGCAAUGUUUUUAAUUCAUUCACAACUGAACAAAUGGAAAAACUUCUCAGAAUGAUAGAUAGAGCUGAUGAAUCCUCUCACAAAAUCAAUCAAGUUUAAAGGAAUGAGACUGAAAAUAGACAAGGUAAUCUUUCUUGGAUAAUUGACACAGGUGCCACAGAUCAUGUGACACAUGAUAAAAGAAAUUUUGUUACUUUUUAUAAAAUCAGACCUGUUUCUAUUAAACUGCCAAAUAAUACUACUCUCACAGCAUAGCACGCAGGAAUAGUGCAGUUUUCAUAGGACUUUAUCAUUUUCAAUGUGCUCUAUAUUCCUGAAUUUUGUUUUAAUCUAAUUUCUGUUCAAAGUCUUAUUAAAGACUUGGACUGUAACCUAACUUUUUCCUCUAAGACUUGUUAGAUAAGGGAGAACCAUACAUUGAAGAUGAUUGGAUGUGCUGAUUCUUGGGAAGGACUCUAUUACUUGCAAGCUUUUCCUAAACCUGAUCAAAGAUACACUUUAAAGUCUACUUUUUCUUGUAAGAAUGUAGAUGUUAGUAUGUGGCACUAUAGAUUAGGCCACCCAGGAGAUAGGGUUGUAAAACAGAUUAGUGAUAAUUUUCCCUAUGUUAAAAUUGACACUGAUUUUGUAUGUGACACCUGCCAUUAUGCUAAACAGCGGAAAUUGCCUUUCUCCAAAAGUGCUUCUAUUACUACCGAAUGUUUUGAAAUUCUUGUGAUAUUUGGGGCCCUCUAAACACUAUCUCUGUUCAUGGUCAUAAGUACUUCCUCACCAUAGUUGAUGAUUACAGUAGACACACAUGGGUGUUCCUAAUGAGUAAUAAAGGUCAAACAAGAGUUUUACUACAGAAUUUUGUUGCCAAAAUCAAAAACCAGUUUAACAAAACAGUCAAAACCAUUAGAUCUGAUAAUGGUCUUGAAUUUAAUUGUGUGGAUUUCUAUGGUUUACAUGGGAUUAACCAUCAAAGAAGUUGUGUUGAAACCCCUGAACAAAAUUCAGUUGUUGAAAGAAAACAUCAACAUAUACUAAGUGUUACCCGGACCCUUCUUUUUCAAUCUAACGUCCCUGAUUCUUACUGGUCUUAUGCCAUUGGGCAUGCUGUUUAUCUAAUAAAUAGGCUGCCCACUCCUAUUCUUAAAAACAAAACACCGUAUGAUCUGCUUUACAACCUACCACCCACUUAUUUAGAUAUUAAAACCUUUGGCUGCUUGUGUUUUGCUUCAACUCUUGAAAAUAAUAGAAGUAAGCUUGACCCAAGAGCUAGAAAGGGAAUCUUUCUAGGAUAUAAGAAUGGUGUGAAAGGUUACAUCGUGCUUGACAUAAACACCAAGGAACUUUUUAUAAGCAGAAAUGUUGUCUUCCAUGAAGAUGUUUUUCCUUACAGAAAACUGCAGGGCAGCAGAGAAGGCUAUGACAGUGAAGAAGACAAAGCUGAUUCUCUCAAUGACCUCCUAGAAGAUCACUAUCCUAUCAACAACGAUGUACAUACUGAGCCAAAUAACGCUGACCAAGAACAGCUGCAGCAGACCACCAAUAGUGAAGACAAUAAUGACAGUACGAGAAGCAAUCAAGAAAAUCAAAGAUACAGAAGGUCUGAAAGACCAAGAAAGAGUCCAGGAUAUCUGAAAGAUUAUGUCCACCAAGUCAAUCAAUCCCUGACUAUGAGAAACAGUCUUAAAACUCCACAUCCGAUCUAUAAUUUAUGCUGUGAUAAUCUUUCAGAGAAACAUUUGAGGUACACCCUGGCUGUUACUGGAAAUAAAGAACCCAUAUCCUAUAAUGAGGCCAAGGACAUGAAGGAAUGGGUAGAGGCCAUGCAGAGAGAAAUAAAAGCCUUGCAAGACAAUAAAACCUGGGUCUUGACUCACCUCCCUCCAGGAAAAGCUGCUAUAGGAUGCAAAUGGGUCUACAAGACAAAAUACAAAGCUGAUGGCAGCAUAGAAAGGUUCAAAGCUCGAUUAGUGGCUAAAGGGUACACACAGCAGGAGGGAAUAGACUAUCUUGACACAUUUUCCCCUGUAGCUAAACUUACCACAGUUAGACUACUGAUUGCUCUGGUAGCUUCAAAUAAUUGGUUUCUACAUCAACUAGAUGUUGACUGUUGACAAUGCUUUCUUACAUGGAGAUCUAAAUGAAGAAGUUUACAUGGAGUUACCUCCAGGUCUAAACACCCACAAUAAGGGAUAGGUUUGCAGGUUAACUAAAUCUUUGUAUGGACUGAAACAAGCCAGUAGGCAAUGGUUUGAAAAACUGUCUUCCUUCUUAAUAUCUGCCAAUUAUGUCCAAUCACAGUCUGAUCACUCACUAUUCAUUAGAAAAACACCUACAAGCUUUACUGCUUUACUUGUAUAUGUGGAUGACAUUAUAUUAACAGGUAACUCUAUGAUGGAAAUCAAUGGCAUAAAGGAACUUCUACACAACAAAUUCCGUAUUAAGGACCUUGGAGAACUCAAAUACUUCCUAGGUAUGGAGGUGGCCAGAUCUAAGAAGGGUAUUCAUCUAUGUCAAAGAAAGUAUGCUUUGGACAUACUUGAGGAAAUAGGAAUGUUAGGCUGUAAGCCUUCUUCUACUCCCUUUUUAAGUGAUACCAGCCCUCUAUAUAAAUCCGACAGCUAUCUUGAUGAUCCAGGUCCUUAUAGAAAGCUGAUAGGGAAGUUACUAUACCUUACCAACACUAGGCCUGAUUUAUGUUUUACAAUUAAUCUGCUUAGUCAAUUCAUGCAAUCACCUACUGACUAUCACUAUCGGGCCAUUCAACAUAUCCUCAGGUACAUUAAAUCCAAUCCUUCUCAAGGGCUAUUUUUUGCUGCUGACUCACCUAUACAAUUAAAGGCCUUUAGUGACUCUAACUGGGCAACAUGUCCCAACACCAGAAGAUCCACAACGGGGUUCAGUGUUUUCCUUGGAACCUCACUCAUUUCCUGGAAGUCUAAGAAGCAGAAAACUGUAUCUAGAUCCUCUACUGAAGCUGAGUAUAGGGCGCUUGCAGCCACUGUAUGUGAAAUACAGUGGCUCUGUUAUCUUUUACAGGACCUACAAACUAAAGAAUCAGGGACUCCAGCCUUGUACUGCGACAACAAGUCUGCAAGGCAUAUAGCUCAUAACCAGAGCUUCCACGAACGGACCAAGCAUAUUGAGCUUGACUGUCACGUUGUUCAUGAAAAGGUUCAACAAGGCCUUCUGAAUCUACUUCCCGUCCGAUCUGAUGAGCAGCUGGUCGACCUCUUCACCAAAUUUCCACAUCGCGUCAGAUUCAAGUCGGUUGUUCCCAAGCUUGGACUGGUGAGUAUACACAGUUCAGCUUGAGGGGAGGCUGUUAAGAAUCAUAGAUUCGGUUACUAUCUUAAUGACAGUUGGUUACUGUCUUAAUGACAGUUUGUUUUUCUGUUUUCUUAUUUUAUCUUUGUUUCCCCUUCCCCACAGAGCUCUAUAUAUAUAGAGCUCUCCCUUUCCUUUUGAUUGUAACACAAAACACAAAAUCAUUGUAAUAAAAUCAGAUUUCACAGAAACAAGGAAAGAUAAAGUUUUUCUUACUCUUCUCGUUAUCCCCUUCAUUUUUGUCUUCUUGGUCGCCGUCGUCCACUGCCUCUAGGAUCACCAGACGUCCUCCGUCUUCAUCAUCGGAUUUCUCAUCACUGGAGCUCUCUUCUCUCUCCUCGCUCUCGGUAAAGCUUUACUGAUUUGAGGUAAAGCCUCUGACCCCAUCCACUCUAUUAUCUCCUACGGG